GCCUACGGGGCGCAGCAGUAGGGAAUAUUGCUCAAUGGGGGAAACCCUGAAGCAGCAACGCCGCGUGGAGGAUGAAGGUUUUCGGAUUGUAAACUCCUUUUGUUAGAGAAGAUAAUGACGGUAUCUAACGAAUAAGCACCGGCUAACUCCGUGCCAGCAGCCGCGGUAAUACGUAUGGUGCAAGCGUUAUCCGGAUUUAUUGGGUUUAAAGGGUGCGUAGGCGGAAUGCCAAGUCAGCGGUAAAAUCGCGGGGCUCAACCUCGCUCCGCCGUUGAAACUGGCGUUCUUGAGUGGGCGAGAAGUAU
rnacentral:rRNA from 1 species